UAUUUGAAAGAAUCUUGUCCCUGGCUCUUUCCUGUCCCCCACCCCCACUCCACUGUCUGCUUUGUACCCUUCAUGAUGUGAACGCUGUGCUCUGCCAUGCUCUCUCCACUAUUAUAGACCGACAUUUCUGACACCGAGGGCCCAAAUGACUCCUUUCUCCUUCAGGUUGUUCCUGUCAUGGAUUUUUAUCAUAGUGUUGAGAGGAGCGACUCUCAUGAGCUAACACAAUGACAUCACAUUGGGUUGCUUACAGUUUGGAGGUUUUAUUUCUCACAGCUCUGAAGACUACGUCAAGUUGUCAAUGGACUCAUCAUGACCUCAGAGUAAGAAAGUGAGUCAACUUGGGCUACUGUGGCUAGAUCUCCCGUCAGUCCAUCCUUCCAGUUCUGUGGCUGCCU
rnacentral:lncRNA from 1 species